GACGAACGCUGGCGGCGUGCUUAACACAUGCUAGUCGAACGGAAAGGCCCUGCUUUUGUGGGGUGCUCGAGUGGCGAACGGGUGAGUAACACGUGAGUAACCUGCCCUUGACUUUGGGAUAACUUCAGGAAACUGGGGCUAAUCCCGGAUAGGAGCUCCUGCUGCAUGGGGGGGGUGGGAAAUUUUCGGCGGUUGGGGAUGGACUCGCGGCUUAUCAGCUUGUUGGUGGGGUAGUGGCUUACCAAGGCUUUGACGGGUAGCCGGCCUGAGAGGGUGACCGGCCACAUUGGGACUGAGAUACGGCCCAGACUCCUACGGGAGGCAGCAGUGGGGAAUAUUGCACAAUGGGCGGAAGCCUGAUGCAGCAACGCCGCGUGCGGGAUGACGGCCUUCGGGUUGUAAACCGCUUUCGCCUGUGACGAAGCGUGAGUGACGGUAAUGGGUAAAGAAGCACCGGCUAACUACGUG
rnacentral:rRNA from 1 species